UACGGGGGGGGCAAGCGUUGUUCGGAAUUACUGGGCGUAAAGGGCUCGUAGGUGGCCAACUAAGUCAGACGUGAAAUCCCUCAGCUUAACUGGGGAACUGCGUCUGAUACUGGAUGGCUUGAGAUUGGGAGAGGGAUGCGGAAUUCCAGGUGUAGCGGUGAAAUGCGUAGAUAUCUGGAGGAACACCGGUGGCGAAGGCGGCAUCCUGGACCAACACUGACACUGAAAAACGAAAGCCAGGGGAGCAAACGGG
rnacentral:rRNA from 1 species